AACGCACAUUGCGCCCCUUGGCAUUCCGAGGGGCAUGCCUGUCCGAGCGUCAUGUACGCCAAUCGAGCCCCGCGCUCGGUCUUGGGCACUGCUGGUGAUGGCAGGCCUCAAAUCCAGUGGCGGCGCCGUCGGGUCCCUCGCGUAGUACGCUCUCGCACUGGGCCCCGGCGGGGUAGGCGCCAUCAAUCGUUCGUCCGAACUUCAAGGUUGACCUCGGAUCAGGUAGGAAUACCCGCUGAACUUAA
rnacentral:misc_RNA from 1 species